UUGGGAUAUUAGUUGAUGAGUCUAAAGAUGUCACUCAUAAGGAACAAAUGGCUCUUGUGCUGCGCUAUGUCAACAAAGAUGGUGAACUUAUUGAGCGAUUCCUUGGUCUUGUUCAUGUUAAAGAUACAACUGCACAUGCAUUACAAAAAGCAAUAAAUUCUUUGCUUUUACAACAUUCAUUGAGUUCAUCUUUAAUACGGGGACAAGGGUAUGAUGGAGCUAGUAACAUGCAAGGAGAAAUUAAUGGUCUUAAAGCUUUGAUUCUGAAAGAUAAUCCUUCGGCAUAUUGCGUACAUUGCUUUGCUCAUCAAUUGCAAUUGACUCUUGUAGCUGUUGCAAAGAAACACCAUGAUAUAAAUAAUUUUUUUGACAUUCUUGCUAAUGUUCUGAAUGUUGUUGGAGGUUCUUAUAAGCGUAGGGAGAUGCUUAGAGAUGAUCAAGCUGAAAAAUUAGAUGAGUUAUUAGUGCUUGGUGAAGUUCAUACAGGAAGUGGAUUAAAUCAAGAACUUGGACUUCAAAGACCAGGUGAUACCUGUUGGGGAUCUCACUUUAAGACAUUGCGCAACUUUAUAUCUUUAUUCUCAUCAAUUGUUCAUGUACUUGGAGUUCUUGCAAAUGAGGGUUCAAAUUAUCAGGAGAAAGAACUGGCAAAAAGUCUAGUGGAAGAUAUAAGAUCUUAUGAGUUUGUGUAUAUAUUACAUUUGAUGUUAAAAAUAAUGGCAAUAACAUAUGAUUUGAAUAUGGCUCUGCAAAGAAAAGAUCAAGAUAUUGUUAAUGCUAUGAAACUUGUUCAUUUCACAAAGAGGCAAUUGCAAACAAUGAGGGAAUCUAAAUGGAAUUCUUUGUUAGAAGAUGUCUCUUCGUUUUGUGAUAAGAAUGGUAUUAUGAUCCCAAAAAUGGAUGAGAAGUAUGGUAUUGGAAAGUCGAAGCUUAAAAGCUCAACUGUUACAUAUUCUCAUCAUUUGCAUGUAGAAGAUUUUUGUGCCGCUAUUGAUUUGCAACUUUCGGAGCUUAACAAUCGUUUUAGUGAAGUGAAUACUGAUCUGCUUCUUGGUAUGGCUAGUUUGAGUCCGGUGAUUCUUUUGCAAAUUAUGAUAAAAAUAAGAUUAUGAAACUUGCUACAUAUUAUCAAAAUGAGUUCACUGCUUCUAAGCUUGAAGAUCUUAGUUUUGAGCUUGACAACUAUAUUGACUAUGUUCGAGAAAUGGACAAUGCAUUCUCUAACUUGAAAGGGCUUGGUGAUCUCUCGAAGACAUUGGUUAAAACAAAUAUUCACAAGACAUGGGGAAUUGUUUAUUUGCUUGUGAAGCUAAGUUUGAUAUUACCCGUGGCUACUGUAACGGUCGAAAGGGCUUUUUCCUCAAUGAAGUUUAUUAAAAAUGACUUGCGAAGCAGAAUUGGUGAUGACUUUUUGAAUGAUUGUUUAGUUUGUUAUAUAGAGGAUGGAGUAUUUGAAAGUGUAUCUAAUGAUGCGAUCAUUGAUCGUUUUCAAAACAUGACAAGUCGUCGAGUUAAAUUGAAAUGAUAAUGUUUGUAUUCAUAUAUUGUGUUUGUCUGGUUCGUUACCUUUAAUAUAUAUUAGAUAUCGAUACUCAUUCUUUAGUCGGCUUGUUAUUGUAUAUUAGUUUUAGAUCAUCGUCUUUUCUUAUAAUUUAGAACCCAUACACUUUAAAUCCUAACUCCGCCUCUGCCAGGUGGGUAGUAUAUAUAUCCAGUGGUAUGUGUCGUGCUUCGUCGUUUAGUGAGGGUGUAUGGGAGUUUAUGUGUAGCAUUAGAGGAGAUACGUCAAUAGUGGUAGGGGUUGCCAUUACCGAUGGCACUUGAGAUCAUAGGAUAGGCAGUUGUAGUUUAGGUGUCUUAGAGAUUCUUUGCUGGUUUAAUUCAUGGCUGGUGGAGGUGUGUGGGUUUGUAUUGUUGGAGUAGGCAGCGUUUGACAGGUGUUGGUUAGGAGAAGAGGUGUUGGCUUUAGGUUCUUGCAUGAAGGAGUUUGCGUAUGUAGGGGAUUGCUUAGUGAGUGAAUUUGCCGACGUCAGGUGUUUAUGAGUGGCUUGGUAUUAUGAGAGAGCGGCGUUAUAAUUAUGUUCUGGGUCAUAAUGAAUUUGGGAUAGGGGAGUUGGUGUCUGUGAGGAGUGGUGUCUUCAUAAUGAAUUCUUUUGUAGAUGGGUUCCUAAUAAAAUUUCAGUUGGAAGGGGUUUUCCUAUUGGUGCAAGAAUACAAAGACGCGCAUAACGACACAUCUAAUAGCUUGGCUUGUGCAGUUAUCAAUUUUUAGUAGGUGUCCUAUAAAGUUUCCUAUUUUUUGUAAAAUUUGUAAAUCAUAAAAUUCGGUAGGCAGUUCUUGUAAAUGGAUUCAUAUAGUGGAGAAGUUUAUGUGUGUUGCUGCCGGGUUAAACUUUGGUUCCCACUGACGAAGGGAGAGGUAUUGGGCGCCUAUGAACCACGUGCCUUGGUGCAUGACUUUAUUGAAAUUUUCUUUGAUAGUAAAUUUUAUUAGGUAAUAAUCGUAGCCCAGAUCGAUGAGAGUGAGUGGUUCCGAUAGUUUCCAAAGGUUUUGUAAUGAAACCCUUAUUCCAAGUAGUUUUAUAAUGACUGCUUGGGACCAGGGUCGAUAUAUCCACUUUUGUUUGUUUUGGUGAUAGGAAUGAAAUGGGGAUGGUUUAGAGGAUUGUCAGUUUCAUCGUGUAGGCUUAGUUUAUGGAAGAAAACAGCUUCAUCGUCUAUAGAUUAUGAGGUUUGGGGGGGGGGGGGGGGGAGGAAUUAAUUUUUCACGAUAACUUACUUGGUCGUUAAUGUCAGAGGGAGUGUGGGCUUCUUUUGGCUUAUUGGUGCUUCUCUCCUGUUGGUCUUGUUCUUGACCGGUGAGCUUGACAUCCGAGGUUGAAGUCAUUGAUGAGC
rnacentral:lncRNA from 1 species